rnacentral:lncRNA from 1 species
CGAGAGCGGAGCUGAGGCCGGUCAGGCUCCCCGUCACGUCUCCCACACUCCCACACCCCCGCAGCCGGCCUGCUCCUUCCUUCCUUCCUUCCUUCCCGGGCGCGAACGCUAGAAGCCGGGAACGGCUCGGCGAGGCUCCCUCCCCCAGGGCAGACUGAGCGGCCUCUCGGCCGGGGCUCCGCGCGCUCGCGCCCGCCCGGGCGCGGAUCUGGAGCUCCGCCGGCCGGCGUGGAAGCUCACUCGGUCCUUCCUUCCCCAUCCAUCCAGGCUCGCUCGGAAGGAAGGCCCCCCACACCACAUCCACACACACGUCUCUGCUCUGGAGGAGAGCUCCGGAGAAGCCCAGUCUGGCGGCCGCUUUCUCGGCACACACACACGGAGGGAAAACACGCUGGCUGGCUGGCUGGCUGGCUGGCUGGCUGGCUGGCUGGCUGGCGGUGGAGCCGCCUCUCCCCGAGCCAGGGGCAGGCGGGCAGGCGGGCGGGCGGGCGGGCCCUGGGACCCCGAUUCCCCUCCGUGCCGCGCUCGCUGAGUCUGGGCGGCCAAGCACACACACAGCGUGGGAAUGCGGCCCGAGCACGGGGCGCUUCCCUUCCCCCUCGGACAGAGCUCUCUCCUCGCUCGCUCGCUCGCUCGCUCGCUCGCUCGCUCGCUCGCUCGCGGGAGGCCUUGGCGGUUUGUACACACGCCCGGGCGGGUCCGGAGCCUCUGCCGGGAGGCCCCGGCUCUCCUAGGUCCGAGCGGGGAAGGCAGGCGAGAGCGGAGCUGAGGCCGGUCAGGCUCCCCGUCACGUCUCCCACACUCCCACACCCCCGCAGCCGGCCUGCUCCUUCCUUCCUUCCUUCCUUCCCGGGCGCGAACGCUAGAAGCCGGGAACGGCUCGGCGAGGCUCCCUCCCCCAGGGCAGACUGAGCGGCCUCUCGGCCGGGGCUCCGCGCGCUCGCGCCCGCCCCGGGCCGCGGAUCUGGAGCUCCGCCGGCGGCGUGGAAGCUCACCUCGGUCCUUCCUUCCCCAUCCAUCCAGGCUCGCUCGCGAGCAAGCACCCGCCGGCGGGCGGGCGGGCGGGCGGGCGGGAGGCCGGCCGGCCGGCCUGUCUGCCUGCCGGCCGGCCCGCCGGCCUGCCUCCCUCCCUCUCCCUCCCUCCCCUCUCUCCCUCUCCUCCCCCUCUCCCGCGUGCUGGAACUACUGCGCUUCCAGGCAGGCCCGGGCACACAGCAACGCCCGGCGGCGCUUCCGCUCAGGGGCCGGCUGUUCCCCCUGCGCUGGGGCUCCGCUAACGGAGCCCAAACGCACGGAAGGAAGGGCCCCCCCCCCCCCCCACCCCCCACACCACAUCCACACACACGUCUCUGCUCUGGAGGAGAGCUCCGGGGAAGCCCAGUCUGGCGGGCCGCUUUCUCGGCACACACACGGAGGGAAAACACGCUGGCUGGCUGGCUGGCUGGCUGGCUGGCGGUGGAGCCGCCUCUCCCCGACCAGGGGCAGGCAGGCAGGCAGGCAGUCAGGCGGGCCCUGGGACCCCGAUUCCCUCCGUGCCGCGCUCCGCUGAGUCUGGGCGCCAAGCUCACACCAAGCGUGGGAAUGCGGCCCGAGCCCGGGGCGCUUCCCUUCCCCCUCGGAUCAGAGCUCUCCUCUCCUCGCUCGCUCGCUCGCUCGCUCGCUCGCUCGCUCGCGGGAGGCCUUGGCGGUUUGUACACACGCCCGGGCGGGCCCGGAGCCCUCUGCCGGGAGGCCCCGGCUCUCCUAGGUCCGAGGGGGGAAGGCAGGCGAGAGCGGAGCUGAGGCAAGUCACCCCCCCCCCCACCCCCCCCCCCGAAAUCACACCCGCAACGUAGGGUCAUGAUUAGCUCAGGGGAUGAUUAGUUUAGGCCACGAUUCGGUUAGGGCGUGAUGAGUUUAGCGGGUGAUUACA